rnacentral:lncRNA from 1 species
AAAGCUGCUAUGUGAGUCAAACCAGGCCCAGAACUCCCCCUGCCUUAAUCAAGAAGGAACAGAUUCAUUCAUUCUCUGUCAUUCACCCAAGAUUCAUCUUCAAAGUCCACUGGAUUCUAAAAAUCUCAAAGCAAAUGGGAAAGUGUCCCACUGGUUUAGAAAUGGAAUUGGAAGCCUGCAGGAGAAAGCAAGGAUUUUUAUUGUAGGUAAGUUUUUGGUUGUUGUUGGUUUUUUUUUUUUAGUUCUUCUCUUCUUUCCCACUAUGGACUUCACAUUUCUUCUCAAGGUUUACAUAUGAUUCACAUUAAUUAAUUCAGCAGAGCCAGUUGGAGUUCAGUUUCUGAACUUUGCUACAAGGAGAAAAGUCCCUCAACUCUUCAUUCACAAUAUUCAUCUUUCUUUUUAUCUUUGAGCAUGGAAAUCACCAAAAUUUUGGUCACAUGAACCCUGGAUACUCUCAUCUGAAAGGGGGCGGGUUUUAUAGAUCUCAAACUUGGUGACCUUUUUCUUCCAAGAUUUUACCAAGCUUGUGAUUUUGAAUAUUGAAUUAAAAAGUCAAUUUGUAAAAAGUCUUUUUACAAUUUACAAUUCCUAAUC